UCGGAUGGAGACUUCUUAUUAUAGAAGUCCCGCUGCUAGAGAAGCUCGAUCAUUGAUGAAGUUCGAAAAAAGUUCGAAGUAGAGAUCAGGCUGGUGGAGCCCAUCCGUUGUAGGAGUUCGUCUGGAGUCCAUCUGCUGUAGAAGUUCGACUGGAAUCCGGCUCUUGUUGGAGCUCGAAUGAAAUUUAGAAGGUGGUCGACCGUCGUAGAAAUUUGGAUGGAGUCUGGUUACUAUAAAAAUCCUGC
rnacentral:lncRNA from 1 species